rnacentral:rRNA from 1 species
GAACGAGUUCUCGUUGAUGAUCGGUGCUUGCACCGAGAUUCAACAUGGAACGAGUGGCGGACGGGUGAGUAACACGUGGGUAACCUGCCCUUAAGUGGGGGAUAACAUUUGGAAACAGAUGCUAAUACCGCAUAGAUCCAAGAACCGCAKGGUUCUKGGCUGAAAGAUGGCGUAAGCUAUCGCUUUUGGAUGGACCCGCGGCGUAUUAGCUAGUUGGUGAGGUAAUGGCUCACCAAGGCGAUGAUACGUAGCCRAACUGAGAGGUUGAUCGGCCACAUUGGGACUGAGACACGGCCCAAACUCCUACGGGAGGCAGCAGUAGGGAAUCUUCCACAAUGGACGCAAGUCUGAUGGAGCAACGCCGCGUGAGUGAAGAAGGCUUUCGGGUCGUAAAACUCUGUUGUUGGAGAAGAAUGGUCGGCAGAGUAACUGUUGUCGGCGUGACGGUAUCCAACCAGAAAGCCACGGCUAACUACGUGCCAGCAGCCGCGGUAAUACGUAGGUGGCAAGCGUUAUCCGGAUUUAUUGGGCGUAAAGCGAGCGCAGGCGGUUUUUUAAGUCUGAUGUGAAAGCCCUCGGCUUAACCGAGGAAGCGCAUCGGAAACUGGGAAACUUGAGUGCAGAAGAGGACAGUGGAACUCCAUGUGUAGCGGUGAAAUGCGUAGAUAUAUGGAAGAACACCAGUGGCGAAGGCGGCUGUCUGGUCUGUAACUGACGCUGAGGCUCGAAAGCAUGGGUAGCGAACAGGAUUAGAUACCCUGGUAGUCCAUGCCGUAAACGAUGAAUGCUAGGUGUUGGAGGGUUUCCGCCCUUCAGUGCCGCAGCUAACGCAUUAAGCAUUCCGCCUGGGGAGUACGACCGCAAGGUUGAAACUCAAAGGAAUUGACGGGGGCCCGCACAAGCGGUGGAGCAUGUGGUUUAAUUCGAAGCAACGCGAAGAACCUUACCAGGUCUUGACAUCUUUUGAUCACCUGAGAGAUCAGGUUUCCCCUUCGGGGGCAAAAUGACAGGUGGUGCAUGGUUGUCGUCAGCUCGUGUCGUGAGAUGUUGGGUUAAGUCCCGCAACGAGCGCAACCCUUAUGACUAGUUGCCAGCAUUUAGUUGGGCACU